rnacentral:rRNA from 1 species
GACAGAGGAUGCAAGCGUUAUCCGGAAUGAUUGGGCGUAAAGCGUCUGUAGGUGGCUUUUCAAGUCCGCCGUCAAAUCCCAGGGCUCAACCCGUGGACAGGCGGAUGGAAACUACCAAGCUGGAGCUACGGUAGGGGCAGAGGGAAUUCCGGUGGAGCGGUGAAAUGCAUUGAGAUCGGAAAGAACACCAACGGCGAAAGCAGCU